rnacentral:rRNA from 1 species
CCUACGGGUGGCAGCAGUGAGGAAUAUUGGUCAAUGGACGAGAGUCUGAACCAGCCAAGUAGCGUGAAGGAUGACUGCCCUAUGGGUUGUAAACUUCUUUUAUAUGGGAAUAAAACGUUCCACGUGUGGGAUUUUGUAUGUACCAUAUGAAUAAGGAUCGGCUAACUCCGUGCCAGCAGCCGCGGUAAUACGGAGGAUCCGAGCGUUAUCCGGAUUUAUUGGGUUUAAAGGGAGCGUAGGUGGAUUGUUAAGUCAGUUGUGAAAGUUUGCGGCUCAACCGUAAAAUUGCAGUUGAAACUGGCAGUCUUGAGUACAGUAGAGGUGGGCGGAAUUCGUGGUGUAGCGGUGAAAUGCUUAGAGAGCACGAAGAACUCCGAUUGCGAAGGCAGUUCACUGGACUGCAACUGACACUGAGGCUCGAAAGUGUGGGUAUCAAACAGGAUUAGAUACCCGAGUAGUG